rnacentral:lncRNA from 1 species
UCUGUAUCUUGCCCCGCCUCAGAAACUGGCUGUUCUGUGAGGGAAAGAAUCAUUCUGCUGACCAUGUUAUAUCGCUUCGUAAUUUAGAUUAGAUGCGUGAGAUGCCGGAAACAAUCUCUAGUGUGCUUGUGGUUUUACGAGUUCAGGUUCCAUUGCAAGAUGCGUAUGUUGAACUGCAAACAUGCACUUUUUACGUGAGGAACGUUUUGAAAAAAUCUAUCGAAAGGUUCGGAGUUUUCCUGUGAGAAGAUGUUCCGGGAAGGUGGACAAGCUACACUGACGUCACGUGCCGACUCCUUUUUUCUCAAGCAUGUCUUUGCGAAUGGUUUAUUUCUUGUAGUGUCAAGAGUUCUGUGAAUCCAUUCAGGUUUCUCUUUUGUAGUGACAACCCGCUCCUGCGCGGGGGCUCAGCCAAGCCCCUGGCGUAGCGCCCAGUUGUCAAACGACAUGAAAUACGGUUCAAGACCUUGGCUAAAAACAAUCAAGGUUACGGUCAAAAUGUCGAUGCCAAAUGGAAGUGUUCUUGUGUGCGUCCAGAUGACGGGAAAGUAAUCAUGGUGCAGCUGGUGGUUUCCGGUAUGCCGCUACGGGAGAAUAGGUGCCGUCACUGAACCUACGUGAGAACACAACGCGGAAGCCAGUGUACGUUAGGUCGCUUUCAGGGCGGUUGUGAAAGGUACUGUCUAGCGCACAUUCUGGUUCUUUUCUAGGUAAUUUUCCGUGACCGCUCCCACUGCAGCCUCUAAGGAGUCAUACAGCGGUACGCUCGUGAAAUGAUCAUUCAUCGCGCCUUAAACAGAUCUGUGUCGUAGCGGGAGGCGGAAAACACUCUUUCACGUGAAGGAGCAUCACUGCUGUGUCUCCUGUGGUGCCCGCCGCCACAUUCCUGCGUCACGUAGACUCCUCGAGAAGUCUUGCAUCGUAGAUGUAGGCGUGCUGGAUGCAAGCACCUUCCUGUGUGAGGGCCAGAACAUCCCAGACGCGAAGGUCGCCUUUUAAUUACUUGCACGUGCAAUGAUACGAGGAAAAUUCUGGGCGUCUCUUCCGUUAUUCAUUUUGUAACUGAAUAAGAAUGUAUGAAGGCCGCGACCGCGCUUGCUUCUGAUGAUUCUUCCAGGCGCGUCUUCUUUGGCCAUGCAGAAACGUCGCACCUUUUUUCCGAUGAUAUUCAUCUUUCCCAUGGUCGCCUGCUUCCCUUCAUCAGGAGCUCAUCGUUCAAUUCCUCUUGGGGUCAAGAUACAUUGUCUGCGUGUGUAGGUGAGGGUAACCCGUAGCUGUUGGCGAAUGCCGCCAUUGUAGAGUGAUACAUGACAAGUAUGUCACUAGGAGUGCUACUGGCUGGAGCGUGGCCGUCAAGUUAGUGUACGUGUCAGAGUCUAUUGACUGUAUAAGUUUUCUCACCGCAUAUGCGUUUGUCUAUUGCCAAUUCAAUUAGGGCGAUGACGACAGUCGCACCUGAGGGGUACAACUGUACCGACACUGCUCAUGUCAAGUGACGCCGCUUAUUCGCUUGGUUGUGCACUGGUGAGGCAGCCCUACCGGCACAUGAGCUGUCUUGCUUUACAGAUUAUUUCUGUGUGUAAUCGGCCCAGCUAUUAGCUAGGUUCAGCAGAGGCGGAAACCAUCAAGAGUAUACUAGAAACGAGUCGACAAAGCGAUGGAUACUCCUGUGAAGAAACACACCCGUCCCAUACAUGCAGUAACUACUGAUGUGACGCGGUAGCCGCGCAUUCCAGAAAUGGUUUACUUGAGGUCUGUAUCCUCCUCUGCAUGGCCGUUGACUUCUUUCGUUUCGUCAAUUCGGGUAGUCGACAAGUCAGCGUAAAUCGGUUUAUACGAGUGAAAACGUGACACGAGAUAGAAGCAACGACUUCGUUUGUCUCUGCAUACAUAACAGUAGGGGCACACCAGGGAGGGAUGUCCCAAGACCGGCUCUGUCACUGAGACAUUAGGAUUCCAUCUGACAACGUGCACCAUCACCGAUUCCUUAUCCUUGUUUCGCUCACGGCAUAUAGUGUCAUUCCAGAACAAAUGUAGAUUUCGAGAAAAAGAACAGACAGGCUUGCUUCUAGUUCAAGCUUUAAAGAGCAACUGCGGCUGUCGACUAAUACAUCUACGUAUGUAUUUCAGACGCGUCAUUUGAGGGCGCCACUGCGUCUGCUGCCAGAGGCGCUCUCGACCAGCUUGUGGGCAAGUGUUUUGUUUUAACUGUCGGUAUGUGUCCGUGUAACGCGGGUAAGCAGCCUGUAUACUCGGUGAUCUUACUUCUUUACACUGGUAUAACUCAAGUGGAAUGAACAGAGACAUUAUGUAGUGGGAUGGCUAUCACUGCAGGGCAAGUUCUUUCGUAUUUACGCAGUUCUCCAAAAGAAACCCUACUGCACAGAACUAUUCAGUCUCAUGAUUAAAUGGUCAAUCUAUAUUAAUGAGGUCGGUGAAAUCAUAUUACCGAUCGAGAGCAAAUACACGGUUCAGCAGCACCCACCACACACGUCGCAAUACGUCUCAGUAUUAUCCCUACAGUUCGGAUUGUUGUAGAGUGGCUACUGUUGCGACAGAAAUGUGUGCAAACAAGAUAAACACACUGUUUUUCAGCGAAACGCGCCACGAGGAAAAGGACCUAGUUUAGGGCGCGUUGUAACACAAAAGGAUGGGUUGCUUCAGCACACUCAAAAGGGAUGGGAAAUUCAUCUAGCAAGAUGCCGCGAAAGCACGACAUUAAACACUGUGCCAACUGUAGAGGAAGACGAGCUGGCUGUCUGUUUGGCUUGCUGCUUUGUCUUGAAAGAAUAUGAAUAACAAGGUAAAAUCUUCUCAGGGCGUUCAUACGUUCUAAAUUGGUCGAGGACAAGCGGAACUGUCAACCAGUCAAAAUCAACAGGAAGGCAGAUGUGUGAAAAAAUUUUGGCCAUCAUUGCUUCUGCCGAUUUUUUUCUGGUGGUACUUUGUGCCUGGGACCGCUUCCAAUUCAGAUGUUGCCGACCGGUACCUUGGCCAUCAGGUUCCCAAAUGUUACAAGCUCUUUUCCAAGUCCUAACGACAGAGAAAAGCUAUCUUUCAGCAAGGCGGGUAAGCUUUUGUUUGUCCUGGCUACUCGCCGACUUGUAGUGGAUGAUCCCUGCUCAUCUAUGUUCAUCACGGCUUGCCCUGUCGGCGUCGCCGUUGUGCGAUCAUGAACACUCUCCUGCAUCUUCACUGUCAAAUAUACAUUCGAAGAAGACAUAUUUUUUUCGGACAUCCUUGAGCUCUCCGAAUGAGCGGAAAGUUGCGGUUCUUCUCCGGUUGGUAUCACACUCCAGGGAGCAGAAAAAAAGUCAUCGAACGAGGGAAACGACGCAGCUGUUCUCGCCGCGGGAAGGAAUUGCCCACUAAACAGUGAGAAGGAACGCGGGGCCUCUUCUGUCCAUGAAUCUUCAUCAGCGACUCUGAUCGCUUCAACUCUGGACGUACCAAACGUCUCUUCAUGAAACGCAUUCACUUCCCCUGAUGUGGCAGAUGGCUGUCGAGUGGACAUCUCUUCUUCCGCCUCGAAAGGCGGUCUGGUUGAAGAUGGUCCCAUUCCAUCAGAAAAAAUAUUACUUCCUUCGUUUGCUACAGAUGAGUGAAACGAAGAAGAAUCCAGUUCCGAUGAGCGUGACCCCAGCACAAUCGUGCGUCGAUAAUCGGGGGCGACAAACGGUGGAUUCACCUCCCUCUGGAGAGAAUCUGUUUUGGGCAUCUUUGUUGGGUUCCCUCCAUUAUGGGCUUGAGGAGGGGCAAUUGCAGCAUUGAUUGAACUUUCGCGCGAAGACGCACGGACGGAUAGAACUGAUGGGGAUGCAGCUAAGGAAGGCGAUGUUCCUCUCACCAGCCCCGAUAGAAGGGCGGCUGGACCCACUAAAUCUACGCCUGACUUCACAUAGUCAUGUGUCCGCGAUGUGCUCCCGUCAGGCAUAGACCCAGUGGA